UUGAUGGUUCAGUGGAAGAAUGCUCGCCUGCCACGCGGGCGGCCCGGGUUCGAUUCCCGGUCGA
rfam:Daphnia pulex DAPPTscaffold_49_Cont2698, whole genome shotgun sequence.